rnacentral:piRNA from 1 species
UAAUCAGACUUUAUUGAGACA